UUCAAGUUGCCGUGUUGUAAUGGAGGCUGUGUUUGCCCUGUUUGCUGCGAGGUUUACCGAAUGCUUUAGGCAUUAGCUCCGUGUACUUCAGGUAGGCUGGCAACUCUCUCACUACAUGCAAACAUGCUAGCUACUAUGGAUGGUGGUCAACCUGGUGUGAUGUAGCCUAAUGUUUUUACCACAUGGCGACAGACUCCUCAGCUUUUGACGUGACUGUGGACGAGUGUUGAGCAGCGAGGCUACAAUUCAACAGCUCUCGGUGUCUUUCCUACUGUAUGAACAUACAGAUAAAAGAACAAGUCAGCAAGCAUCUCUGAGAGAAUUAUUUCACAAUAUCGUUGCAUUGAAGGAUAGUUUGACCGAGUUUCUGUUUCCAAAACAGAACUAAAGUCAGAAAUGUCUGGAUUCACUGAACCAUCACAACAGCUCAUGUCAGUGAAGAAGGAGAUAAAAGAAGAAGAAGAAUUUGAUGAUUUCCUACAAGAGUAUUUGUCUGAAAUUCAGACAGUGGAAGAAAAGCCUGGAAUGGAAUAUGAAAUCAAGACUGAAAUGUACACAUCACCAAACAUGACCCUGAAAGAAGAAAAGUAUUCACCAAUGGAAAUUACAGAUGAAGAAGAAUUUGAUUUAAGUGAAUAUGGUCACUAUGUCUCUUCUCCUACAAGAGACAUUCAAAGAAUCCAAUCUAACAAGAGAGGGAACACUAAG